AUUGAACGCUGGCGGCAUGCCUUACACAUGCAAGUCGAACGGCAGCACGGGGCAACCUGGUGGCGAGUGGCGAACGGGUGAGUAAUGCAUCGGAACGUACCUUUCAGUGGGGGAUAACGUAGCGAAAGUUACGCUAAUACCGCAUAUUCUGUGAGCAGGAAAGCAGGGGAUCGCAAGACCUUGCGCUGAUUGAGCGGCCGAUGUCAGAUUAGCUAGUUGGUGAGGUAAAGGCUCACCAAGGCGACGAUCUGUAGCGGGUCUGAGAGGAUGAUCCGCCAAGCUGGCACUGAGACACGGCCCAGACUCGUACGGGAGGCAGCAGGGGGGAAUUUUGGACAAUGGGGGCAACCCUGAUCCAGCCAUGCCGCGUGGGUGACGAAGGCCUUCGGGUUGUAAAGCUCUUGCGGCCGGGAAGAAAUCGCACGGGCUAAUACCCUGUGUGGAUGACGGUACCGGAAUAAGAAGCACCGGCUAACUACGUGCCAGCAGCCGCGGUAAUAC
rnacentral:rRNA from 1 species